UUCCUAUAACUUACUAUCUUUUAGAUUAUCAUCUGUGGAAGACAGAUCAUCUGUAGUUACUUGUCUCAAAGCAUAGAACUAAAAGUCGUUCAGCAUUACAUUGGUCAAGAUGGGCAAGCUGUAGUUCGAGAACAUUUUGACUGCCUCACAGCCAAACAGAAAUUGCCUUCAUACAUACUAGAAAAUAGUGAGCUGACAGAGCUGUGUGUGAAGGCCAAAGGAGAUGAAGACUGGUCAAGAGAUGUGUGCCUGGAAUCCAAAGCCCCCGAGUACAGCGUUGUCAUUCAGGUGCCAUCUUCAAACAGUUCCAUUAUUUAUGUCUGGUGCACAGUUUUGACUUUAGAACCCAACUCUCAAGUGCAACAACGAAUGAUUGUGUUCAGCCCUCUUUUUAUCAUGAGGAGUCAUCUUCCAGACCCCAUUAUCAUACAUUUGGAGAAAAGGAGUCUGGGAUUGAGUGAAACACAAAUUAUUCCAGGAAAAGGGCAGGAAAAAACACUGCAAAACAUAGAACCUGACCUCGUACAUCACCUGACAUUCCAAGCAAGGUACU